rnacentral:rRNA from 1 species
AACGAACGCUGGCGGUGCGUCUUAAGCAUGCAAGUCGAACGGCAAGAAAGUGCUUGCACUUUCCUAGAGUGGCGGACUGGUGAGUAACGCGUGGGUGAUCUACCUUUAAGAUGGGGAUAGCUUUUAGAAAUAAGAGAUAAUACCGAAUGUGCUUACGAUGUUUUGACAUUGUAAGGAAAGGAGCGUUUGCUCCGCUUAAAGAUGAGCCUGCGUCCCAUUAGCUAGUUGGUGAGGUAAGGGCCCACCAAGGCGAUGAUGGGUAUCCAACCUGAGAGAGUGAUCGGACACAUUGGGACUGAGAUACGGCCCAAACUCCUACGGGAGGCAGCAGCUGAGAAUCUUCCGCAAUGGACGAAAGUCUGACGGAGCGACACCGCGUGAAUGAUGAAGACCGAAAGGUUGUAAAAUUCUUUUGCAGACAAAGAAUAAGUGCAGGAGGAAAUGCCUGCAUGAUGACGGUAGUUAUGCGAAUAAGCCCCGGCUAAUUACGUGCCAGCAGCCGCGGUAAUACGGAGGGUGCAAGCGUUACUCGGAAUCACUGGGCGUAAAGGACGCGUAGGCGGAUUAUCAAGUCUCUUGUGAAAUCUAACGGCUCAACCGUUAAACUGCUUGGGAAACUGAUAAUCUAGAGUAAGGGAGAGGCAGAUGGAAUUCUUGGUGUAGGGGUAAAAUCCGUAGAUAUCAAGAAGAAUACCUAUUGCGAAGGCGAUCUGCUGGAACUUAACUGACGCUAAUGCGUGAAAGCGUGGGGAGCAAACAGGAUUAGAUACCCUGGUAGUCCACGCCCUAAACGAUGUAUACCGGUUGUUGCUGUGCUAGUCACGGCAGUAAUCCACCUAACGGAUUAAGUAUACCGCCUGGGGAGUACGGUCGCAAGAUUAAAACUCAAAGGAAUAGACGGGGACCCGCACAAGCGGUGGAGCAUGUGGUUUAAUUCGAAGAUACGCGAAGAACCUUACCCGGACUUGAUAUCUAACAAAUCAUCCAGAGAUGGAAGAGUGUCUGCUUGCAGAAAUGUUAAGACAGGUGCUGCACGGCUGUCGUCAGCUCGUGUCGUGAGAUGUUGGGUUAAGUCCCGCAACGAGCGCAACCCACGUCAUUAGUUGCUAACGGUUCGGCCGAGCACUCUAAUGAGACUGCCUUCGUAAGGAGGAGGAAGGUGUGGACGACGUCAAGUCAUCAUGGCCCUUAUGUCCGGGGCGACACACGUGCUACAAUGGCAUAUACAAUAAGACGCAAUAUCGCGAGAUGGAGCAAAUCUAAAAAAUAUGUCCCAGUUCGGAUUGGAGUCUGCAACUCGACUCCAUGAAGCCGGAAUCGCUAGUAAUCGUAGAUCAGCCAUGCUACGGUGAAUACGUUCCCGGGUCUUGUACUCACCGCCCGUCACACCAUGGGAGUUGAUUUCACUCGAAGCGGGAAUGCGAAAUUCGCUACCCUCCACAGUGGAAUCAGCGACUGGGGUG